UAAUACGAAGGGUCCUAGCGUAGUUCGGAAUUACUGGGCUUAAAGAGUUCGUAGGUGGUUAAAAAAGUUGGUGGUGAAAUCCCAGAGCUUAACUCUGGAACUGCCAUCAAAACUUUUUAGCUAGAGUAUGAUAGAGGAAAGCAGAAUUUCUAGUGUAGAGGUGAAAUUCGUAGAUAUUAGAAAGAAUACCAAUUGCGAAGGCAGCUUUCUGGAUCAUUACUGACACUGAGGAACGAAAGCAUGGGUAGCGAAGAGGAUUAGAUACCCUCGUAGUCCAUGCCGUAAACGAUGUGUGUUAGACGUUGGAAAUUUAUUUUCAGUGUCGCAGCGAAAGCGAUAAACACACCGCCUGGGGAGUACGACCGCAAGGUUA
rnacentral:rRNA from 1 species